UCCCUUAUCUGAUUGUAUUCUCCUAGGGUGUGGUGUUGAAAACCUCUUUGUUUCGGUCUGAGCUUCCUUAAACACAUCACUAAGGUUGCUCUGCGGCAAAGGAGACAAAGAUCUCUGCUUGUUGACAGUUAGAGGUCGACCAAUAGGUGAAGACACACGACUGUUCCUCCGAACCAUUGAAUUACUGGGGCUCGACUUCUGCCUAGUAGGUGAAGACACACAACUGUUCCUCCGAAUCGUUGAAUUACUGGGGGUCGACUUCUGCCUAGUAGGAGCUGCUGCUGCUACAGGCCUUGACUUCAACCCUGCCAUCUUCUGCUCUUUCUGAAAAUCUAGAAAGGUUAAAGGAAUUGAGGCCAAUCUUGAAUCAUCAUGACGAUGCGAAUCAAACCGAUGGGAGAAUUUCGUUCUCCU
rnacentral:lncRNA from 1 species